CUCGUAGGCGGUCUGUUGCGUCGGGAGCGAAAACACCGGGCUUAACUCGGUGCUUGCUUUCGAUACGGGCAGACUGGAGGCAUGCAGGGGAGAAUGGAAUUCCUGGUGUAGCGGUGAAAUGCGCAGAUAUCAGGAGGAACACCGGUGGCGAAGGCGGUUCUCUGGGCAUGUUCUGACGCUGAGGAGCGAAAGUGUGGGGAGCGAACA
rnacentral:rRNA from 1 species